AUACGGAGGGUGCGAGCGUUAAUCGGAAUUACUGGGCGUAAAGCGUACGUAGGCGGUUGGUUAAGUUAGAUGUGAAAGCCCCGGGCUUAACCUGGGAACUGCAUUUAAAACUGGCGAACUAGAGUUGAGUAGAGGGGAGUGGAAUUUCAGGUGUAGCGGUGAAAUGCGUAGAGAACUGAAGGAACACCAGUGGCGAAGGCGACUCCCUGGACUCGAACUGACGCUGAGGUACGAAAGCGUGGGUAACAAACGGGAUUAGAAACCCUAGUAGUCC
rnacentral:rRNA from 1 species